AGUGAACGCUGGCGGUAGGCCUAACACAUGCAAGUCGAACGGCAGCACAGUAAGAGCUUGCUCUUACGGGUGGCGAGUGGCGGACGGGUGAGGAAUACAUCGGAAUCUACUUUUUCGUGGGGGAUAACGUAGGGGAACUUACGCUAAUACCGCAUACGACCUACGGUUGAAAGCAGGGGAUCUUCGGACCUUGCGCGAUUGAAUGAGCCGAUGUCGGAUUAGCUAGUUGGCGGGGUAAUGGCCCACCCAGGCGACGAUCCGUAGCUGGUCUGAGAGGAUGAUCAGCCACACUGGAACUGAGACACGGUCCAGACGCCUGAGGGAGGCAGCAGUGGGGAAUAUUGGACAAUGGGCGCAAGCCUGAUCCAGCCAUACCGCGUGGGUGAAGAAGGCCUUCGGGUUGUAAAGCCCUUUUGUUGGGAAAGAAAAGCAGCAGGUUAAUACCCCGCUGUUCUGACGGUACCCAAAGAAUAAGCACCGGCUAACUUCGUG
rnacentral:rRNA from 1 species